rnacentral:rRNA from 1 species
CUUGCUGGGUUGGAUGAGUGGCGAACGGGUGAGUAACACGUGAGUAACCUGCCCCCUUCUUUGGGAUAACGGUCGGAAACGGCUGCUAAUACCGGGUAUUCACUGUCCUUCGCAUGGGGGGUGGUGGAAAGGUUUUUUCUGGUGGGGGAUGGGCUCGCGGCCUAUCAGCUUGUUGGUGGGGUGAUGGCUUACCAAGGCUUUGACGGGUAACCGGCCUGAGAGGGUGACCGGUCACAUUGGGACUGAGAUACGGCCCAG